UAAUUGUCAUCAAAUUACUUUUGGAUGCAAGGCACACCUAGCUCGUACUCCCACACAUCGUUUUGAAUGUACAUUCCAGAACUUCCCCGUGAAAAGAGAAAUUUCACUAGCUUUCAAUGCUUUGCCCAUUGGUUGCCUUCAAAUGUCACAAGUCUAUCACCUAUAAGCUUCUUCACUUGGUCUUGGGGGCACAUUUUAGGAAAAUGACAUAAAUGGUCCUUAAAUUUUGGCCCAAUGUAUAAUUUAGUCCCUGAAUUUUUAAUUUGUGCAAUGUGAUCCCUGAACUUUAGAUUAAUGUGCAAUGUGCUCCCUGAGCUUUUAAUUUGUUUGAUAUAACCCCUAAACUUUUGGUACAUAUUUAAUCUAGUCUC
rnacentral:lncRNA from 1 species